rnacentral:rRNA from 1 species
UAUGAAGGGGGCUAGCGUUGCUCGGAAUCACUGGGCGUAAAGCGCACGUAGGCGGAUAUGUCAGUCAGGGGUGAAAUCCCGGGGCUCAACCUCGGAACUGCCCUUGAUACAGCAUAUCUUGAGUCCGAUAGAGGUGGGUGGAAUUCCUAGUGUAGAGGUGAAAUUCGUAGAUAUUAGGAAGAACACCGGUGGCGAAGGCGGCCCACUGGAUCGGUACUGACGCUGAGGUGCGAAAGCGUGGGGAGCAAACAGG